AGGGAAUAUUGCGCAAUGGAGGGAACUCUGACGCAGCGACGCCGCGUGAGCGAUGAAGGCCUUCGGGUCGUAAAGCUCUGUCCUCAGGGAAGAAAAAUGACGGUACCUGAGAAGGAAGCCCCGGCUAACUACGUGCCAGCAGCCGCGGUAAUACGUAGGGGGCAAGCGUUGUCCGGAAUUAUUGGGCGUAAAGGGUGCGUAGGCGGCCAAAUAAGUCAGAUGUGAAAGGCCACGGCUUAACUGUGGAAUUGCAUUUGAAACUGUUUGGCUUGAGUUUCGGAGAGGGUAGUGGAAUUCCCGGAGUAGCGGUGAAAUGCGUAGAUAUCGGGAGGAACACCAGUGGCGAAGGCGACUACCUGGACGAAUACUGACGCUGAUGCACGAAAGCUAGGGGAGCAAAC
rnacentral:rRNA from 1 species